ACGGGUGAGUAAUACAUCGGAACGUGCCCAGUAGUGGGGGAUAGCCCGGCGAAAGCCGGAUUAAUACCGCAUACGACCUACGGGUGAAAGCGGGGGAUCGCAAGACCUCGCGCUAUUGGAGCGGCCGAUGUCAGAUUAGCUAGUUGGUGGGGUAAAAGCCUACCAAGGCGACGAUCUGUAGCUGGUCUGAGAGGACGACCAGCCACACUGGGACUGAGACACGGCCCAGACUCCUACGGGAGGCAGCAGUGGGGAAUUUUGGACAAUGGGCGCAAGCCUGAUCCAGCCAUGCCGCGUGCGGGAAGAAGGCCUUCGGGUUGUAAACCGCUUUUGUCAGGGAAGAAACGGCCUGAUCUAAUAAAUCGGGCUAAUGACGGUACCUGAGGAAUAAGCACCGGCUAACUACGUGCCAGCAGCCGCGGUAAUACGUAGGGUGCAAGCGUUAAUCGGAAUUACUGGGCGUAAAGCGUGCGCAGGCGGCUUUGCAAGACAGAUGUGAAAUCCCCGGGCUUAACCUGGGAACUGCAUUUGUGACUGCAUGGCUAGAGUGCGGCAGAGGGGGAUGGAAUUCCGCGUGUAGCAGU
rnacentral:rRNA from 1 species